AGAUUGAACGCUGGCGGCAUGCCUAACACAUGCAAGUCGAGCGGCAGCGCGGGGGCGACCCUGGCGGCGAGCGGCGGACGGGUGAGUAAGGCAUCGGAAUCUGCCCUGAUGUGGGGGAUAACGUAGGGAAACUUACGCUAAUACCGCAUACGACCGAGAGGUGAAAGCGGGGGGAUACGUAGACCUCGCGCUGGUGGAUGAGCCGAUGUCCGAUUAGCUGGUUGGUGGGGUAACGGCCACCAAGGCGACGAUCGGUAGCUGGUCUGAGAGGAUGAUCAGCCACACUGGGACUGAGACACGGCCCAGACUCCUACGGGAGGCAGC
rnacentral:rRNA from 1 species